UGGGGAGCAUGAAUGGGUGGCAGAGAAGGGAGGUCAAAGGAUAAGAUGACAGCAAGAAGAAAGACUGGGACACUGGUAGAAAAGUGGCAGCUGCUAAAGUAUAUUGCUUGGAACCCCAGUGUGACUCUGAACCCUGGAGAGGGCUUUGUAAAGACAAGGAUUUGGCUCAACAAUGUGAACGUGGAAACUAGGCAGCACUCAGAUUCAGAUUCUGACCUUCCUUCCUGAUGACUGCCAGGCCUUCUGAGAAUCUCAACCGGUCUGGAGAGGCAGCAUACAGUGCCUUAGCGCAAGUGAGGGAACUGUGACAGGAUGAAUGGAGAGGGCAGACAUACUGCAGACCAUGUCAGAAGGGAAGGUAGAGGCUUGAAACCACAGAGAAGCAAACAUACAAACAGAAAAAAAAAUAAAUAAAGCCCUCUCUUGCUCCUGC